AUGGUAGCAAACCACGGUCAUUGUAAACACUGCACGAGAAAGGUUUUGGCUUCCAUAGUUAUCCUUGUAUCUUGGGAGAUAUGGUGUGAGUGAAAUGCGAGUGUUUAUAGGAAUGUUUCGUCGAUAGCUGGCUCCGUUACGACCAAGGUUAAGGCCGAUGGCAUGCUUUGGGGGAUGGCGGUUGCGAAGCACUUGAGUUCUUUGAUGCCGCAAGAGUAUAUAUGUAUGUACCUGAAACGACCGUGUUCUUGUUUCAACUGGUUGCUUUUUAUUAAAUUCUUCUUAAUUAAUGAAACAAGGCAAAGUUUACCCUCUGUUUUUAAACAAGAUAUUCUGUAA
rnacentral:rRNA from 1 species